UAAUUGAAUUAUAUUCUGAAACAUUUGUUUAGUAUUAUUUCCAUGCUUAAUAAAAUCAUUAUAUUUCUGCAUAAAUAAAUAAACAUUUACAAAGAGGGGGAAGAACGAGAAGAAUCAGAGACGAAGGUGUCAUUCUCUGAAUCAUUGACGACCAAUCAAUCGAUCAACAACUGAUCAAAUGGACAAUUCAUUGAUGGCCUGUAGACAUGCAGCCAAUCGUCUUCCUUCCUUCUCCAUACAUGAAAUCCCCCAUUGGGUAUUAUAUCAUAUUAUAUUUAUAUACCGCAUAAUGUAAUUAUCUCUCAGGUUCAGAAAAAUUUAACAAAAUAACAUAGCAGAUGUGUGUGUGUGUGUGUGUUUGUGGAUGCAGCCCAAAUGACAAUCUCUUCCCUACUGUACGUAGUUCACUAAGUAAUGCACUCUGUAGGGGACAGGCUGUCAUUUAGGAUGUAUAUUAUGUGUGUGUUUGUAUGUACAUAGUAAAUCACCAGGCAGCAGUCAGAAGAGUAGUUAUCCCAAAAAAAAUUACAUUUAGAAAAAAAUUCAUGUGCACAGGAAAAUCUUUGAACGAACACACCGACUGGAAAUGAGGGAAGUUAUGUUGUUUGUUUUGUUUUUAACAAAUAAAACAAAUACAUUUCAGGGAUUUAUCCAAAUGUAUCCAAUCAUAACCCCAAAAGCCUCCCCCAUUCCUUUGUGCGUUUCAGAUUGACUGACACGUAUCGGUCUCGUAUGAAAAGGAUCACACACAGAGGCUGCUCACUUACAGAUAGUAUCAAAAAGACCCAUUUCAAUAGGAGUCAAAGUAACAUGGCAUCUUUGGAAAAGUGGAUCAGGCUACACCCUUCAGACCAAUGCAUUUUGAGAAGACAGGAAUCAAGGAAAGACAAUUGAGAUUGGAUAGGUCUGUUUAGGUUAGGGGUACCGGUUCUUGUAGCAGGUUAGGUUAGGGGUACCGGUUCUUGUAGCAGGUUAGGUUAGGGGUACCAGUUCUUGUAGCAGGUUAGGUUAAGAGUGCCUUUUCAACACGGACACUUGAGCGAGUUGACAGGGUAGAUCAGAUCAUGCUUUUAACUAGCCUGGAAUCCAAGCUAAUAUGCUUACAGUCUUGUUUCACCAGUCUAGCUUUUAAGGUGUAGCGAGGACAACAAGACAUCAUGACCAUGUAUUCAUUGAGGAGAGAAGACUCUCCACGCUGUCACUCUCUCUGCCCUUCCACCACUUUGAAACCAGCUCAAAUUUACACAAAACACCUCCAUUUACAGGCAGGACUUAUUUUAUUAAUUGUUUUUCUGCAUGGAAUCCCAAAAAUAAUAAGUAAAGACAAACUGGAGAACACAAGAUGUGAUCAAUUCAGGAGAAAGGAGAGAAAAAAAUGUUUUGGGAGAUUUCACUUUUUUUUUUAUUUUUAUGGCAAACAAAAAGUUGUAUUCCAAAUGGCACCAGUUUCCCUAUAUAGUGCACUACUUUUGACCAGAGCCCUGUUCCCUAUAUAGUGCACUACUUUAGACCAGAGCCCUAUGGCUUAGGGUUGGUCCUAGAACUGCUACCCAGAGCUCCAUGCCCACCAGAUUCAGGGACUGUAUGAAUCCGGGGAGUCCAGAGAAGGGCAUCUGUUUUGGGCCACAAAGAUUGAGGAUAGCCCUUAACUUCCAAACCACCACUCAACAACCCCCCUUACAUAGGUGCUGCUAUAGCAAGGCUAUCCUUUAGACAAAGACACAUUUCAGAAAGACUACAGGCCUCAUCUUUCAUAAGGAUUAUAUAUCACCCUUAGCCAGCCGAUUGGCUAUCGAUGCAUAUAUAUUCCAAUCCAAGACAGUUUUAAAGUUUCCAGGAUUGAUGGACACUGUGGAGUGGGGACAUGCCCACUCACAGCAGAAGCAGUGAAGGCCAAUGACAGAGCCCAGAGAAACAGGAAGUUAGAUGGGGAUUCUAAAGCCGUAUCUAAAGGAGAACGAAGAAGAGACAGCACCUUGGGGGUAAUUCUAGAGCUGGGUCUACCUGACAGUAUACAAGGAGGGGGAUAUUUUAUAACUAUAAUCUACCCGGCACUGGAUGAGACCAGAGGAAGAAUCUAGAGCUGUACGUACUAGACAGGCAUUGGAGAGACCAGAGGAAGAAUCUAGAGCUGUACAUACUAGACAGGCAUUGAGAGACCAGAGGAAGAAUCUAGAGCUGUACAUACUAGACAGGCAUUGGAGAGACCAGAGGAAGAGAGUAACAGAGUUUCAUAAAAGGUGUUAUGUUAAUAUACAUCAUUAUCAUUUAGGUUUAUGACAUCUAAGCAGGUGUCUGGAGAGGUUGGACUUGCGAGCAAAGCUGAGAAAGCAGUACAUACUAGACAGGCAUUGGAGACCAGAGGAAGAAUCUAGAGCUGUACAUACUAGACAGGCAUUGGAGACCAGAGGAAGAAUCUAGAGCUGUAUGUACAUCAGGUAGCAUAGUCAUCAUAGACUUCAGCGCCAAGAUAUUAGCCUGGUCCCAGGUCUGUUUGUGCUUUUGCCUACUCUACUGUCAGCAUUUAGCAUGACAAUUACAUAAGAAGUUGGCAAGAGAGCACAGACCUGCUACCAAGAUCCAGGAAACAGACCUGCUACCAAGAUCCAGGAAACAGACCUGCUACCAAGAUCCAGGAAACAGACCUGCUACCAAGAUCCAGGAAACAGACCUGCUACCAAGAUCCAGGAAACAGACCUGCUACCAAGAUCCAGGAAACAGACCUGCUACCAAGAUCCAGGAAACAGAGCGAAAACAGCCCUGGGUGAGCAACACAUGAGCAGGAAAACACACCAAUGCGUUUUAUACAAGGGAAUUACGACAGUGGAAAUUGUGGCCAUUUGUCCAAAAGAUGUUAACCCCACACCUAUUUCACCUGAGCCCCAAUAGUUACACUGACAUCCUUUCAUAAAGCAAUCUGGGAACUAGAGUGUUAUCAAACCAGUAGUGGCUUGUCCAUUUUACACUCCAUGUGUCCCAAAAAGUAUUUA